rnacentral:rRNA from 1 species
GAUGAACGCUGACAGAAUGCUUAACACAUGCAAGUCAACUUGAACUUCGGUUUGGGUGGCGGACGGGUGAGUAACGCGUAAAGAACUUGCCUCACAGCUAGGGACAACAUUUGGAAACGAAUGCUAAUACCUGAUAUUAUGAUUAUAUGGCAUCGUAUAAUUAUGAAAGCUAUAUGCGCUGUGAGAGAGCUUUGCGUCCCAUUAGCUAGUUGGAGAGGUAACAGCUCACCAAGGCGAUGAUGGGUAGCCGGCCUGAGAGGGUGAUCGGCCACAAGGGGACUGAGACACGGCCCUUACUCCUACGGGAGGCAGCAGUGGGGAAUAGUGGACAGUGGACCGAGAGUCUGAUCCAGCAAUUCUGUGUGCACGAUGAAGUUUUUCGGAAUGUAAAGUGCUUUCAGUUGGGAAGAAAAAAAUGACGGUACCAACAGAAGAAGUGACGGCUAAAUACGUG